rnacentral:hammerhead_ribozyme from 1 species
AUCCAGCUGAUGAGUUUCAAAUAGGACGAAACGCGCGUCCCGGGU